GGCGGACCCGCCCGGACAUGGGGCGGUGCGGGGGGAGCAGCGGCCUCUUUGGGCGGCGGCAGUGGCCACGUGCGGAGCCGCGGGAUGGGGCUCCGCUCCGCCGUGGGGUGAAGUGAGGGCUUCCAGAUGAUAUGAGGCUUAAGCGUGUGUGAAGGGAUUGCUGUCGCUCGGUGCUCUAGGGUUCUGGAAGAUGCAGCCCUCAGGUAAUCCAUGUUUUGCUGCGGAGGGGGCUUACUGCUGCAGCAGUGGUUGUCAGAAGGAAAGGAAUGAGCGGUUGGUGCUGCUGUGAAGGUCCCUGCUUGAGGCAGACGGAGAAAGUGGAAACAUCCACAAUUUCACUGGUACUGCUAGAGAAGCCCUUCUUCUCAAGGCCUGGGUGCUGUGACUUGAAACAGCAGUAAGGGACAAGGUGUGAUGGGAAUUGCACAUACAGUUUGUUCAGAGUUAAUCCCCUCACUGGUGUUUAAAAUGUUAUUUUUUUCUAUGACUUCUAUUUAUUAAACUUAC